AAAGGAACGCUAAUACCGCAUACGUCCUACGGGAGAAAGCAGGGACCUUCGGGCCUUGCGCUAUCAGAUGAGCCNUAGGUCGGAUUAGCUAGUUGGUGAGGUAAUGGCUCACCAAGGCGACGAUCCGUAAACUGGUCUGAGAGGAUGAUCAGUCACACUGGAACUGAGACACGGUCCAGACUCCUACGGGAGGCAGCAGCC
rnacentral:rRNA from 1 species